rnacentral:rRNA from 1 species
UACAGAGGGGGCAAGCGUUGUUCGGAAUUACUGGGCGUAAAGGGCGCGUAGGCGGCCUUCUAAGUCGGACGUGAAAUCCCCGGGCUCAACCCGGGAACUGCGUCCGAUACUGGAAGGCUUGAAUUCGGGAGAGGGAUGCAGAAUUCCUGGUGUAGCGGUGAAAUGCGCAGAUAUCAGGAGGAACACCGAUGGCGAAGGCAGGUCUCUGGGCAUUAACUGACGCUGAGGAGCGAAAGCAUGGGGAGCGAACAGG